GUUGAACGCUGGCGGCAGGCCUAACACAUGCAAGUCGAGCGGAUGAAGGGAGCUUGCUCCUGGAUUCAGCGGCGGACGGGUGAGUAAUGCCUAGGAAUCUGCCUGGUAGUGGGGGAUAACGUCCGGAAACGGGCGCUAAUACCGCAUACGUCCUGAGGGAGAAAGUGGGGGAUCUUCGGACCUCACGCUAUCAGAUGAGCCUAGGUCGGAUUAGCUAGUUGGUGGGGUAAAGGCCUACCAAGGCGACGAUCCGUAACUGGUCUGAGAGGAUGAUCAGUCACACUGGAACUGAGACACGGUCCACACUCCUACGGGAGGCAGCAGUGGGGAAUAUUGGACAAUGGGCGAAAGCCUGAUCCAGCCAUGCCGCGUGUGUGAAGAAGGUCUUCGGAUUGUAAAGCACUUUAAGUUGGGAGGAAGGGCAGUAAGUUAAUACCUUGCUGUUUUGACGUUACCAACAGAAUAAGCACCGGCUAACUUCGUG
rnacentral:rRNA from 1 species